rnacentral:lncRNA from 1 species
CAAUUUUGUAAGUUGUUAUUCAAUCUUCUAGACUUGGGGAAAAGAUUUUAAAAUUUAAACAAAUUUUAAAAAUUAAACAGAUAUAUAUGUGAUUUUAUAUGUGUUUAUAUAUAUGCACACAUAUAUGUGUGAUUUUAGUAACUGAGUGGGAACGCAGGAGAGCAACACAAUUUAAAUUUUAUAAUGUGACCACACAAGACAUAAUAUGUAGAUUUUAAAACCCCUUGUGAACUCUUCUUAAUGAUGCUCAGCAUAUAAAAUUUUAAACAGUUAUCAAAAAAAGCAUCAAACCAUGGAUAUACUUAAUUACAUAAAAUAUCGGAAUAUAUUAUUUGCACAUAUUAAUUAAUUUCCCACUUUCUGCAAUGAACUUAAAGUCAUAGUAAUAAAAUAUGAUAAAAUAUUUUAGAGAUAAUCAAAUCUAAAACCUUUUUAAAAAUGAGAAGCUAAAUGAUUUCUGAUGACUUCAAAAAGACCCCUACAUAUAUAAAAUGCACAGUUUGCUUUUAUAAAGAAAAAAACCCACUAAUGUAUUUCAAGUUGUACAUUUGUAGAUAUAGAUACAUAUGUGUGUAUGUAUUUUUUAAAAAGAAAACUAAAAUACAAAUGCUAAUUCACAGAUAUGAAGAGUUAAAAAAAUUCAGUUUCAUUAUUUCCAGUGCAGUAUCUAUUAGUACUGCAACUAUUUUCUCCAUUCAAACGGCAAUACUGAAUCAGGCUAAAUUCCUAGUAGCAAUUCAGAGGUAAAUUAAUACUUAAUUCAACAAAGCACUGUAAUGAACCAGCAGGUUGCCGGGUGGCGGUGGGGGUGGGGAGAGGCAGGGAUUUGGAUUUGUGGCUGCAAUAGCACGUCCAAUUUUGUUAUCACUGUAUUUAAACAGUAUUCUGAUAUUUUGAAACGUAGCAUCUCCGUUUAAAAAAUACAGUAAGUCUAACUGCCAGCCUCAUCAGGGUCUUACCUGGUUGAUUCAACCUUAUUGAAAAGUCUAGUGGGGGAUUUCCAAGCUACUCAGUUGUCUAAUAAGCUUGUAUUAAGUGAUUCCCCUCGAAGUACAAGCAAUCCAGAGACAUAAGGGACCUAGUUAGGGCAUAGUGUUAAAGUGUCUGGUGAGCUUCUUAAUUAAAAAAAAGACUCUACAAUACAGUCAAGAUAUUAAUAAUUUUUAAAACCACCACCCUUAUUUCAUUUCAAAAACUAAUCAUCUAUACAUUAAUUUUGAAUAUUUUUAUGGCUAUGCAUUUUAUUAAUAAUUACUUUCAAAUAAAUAUAAAAUAGCAUGUGAAAUAUCGUUCUUAAUCAGGGCCAUAUUUUAUCCUGAUAAAAAUGAGAGUGAAGAAAGUGAGACAUAAAUGUUUUUUUCUUGCCUUCAUGUAUGAUGGCAUUUAAACAAUACAAAAAAAAUUCAUGGAAAACACCCUACAGCAUGGCCAUUCACUAUGCCAAAUUAAAUAAUUUAAAUUUGCUCUUCCUAUUUCUUAUGUGAAAUAUCCCAAUAUGCCUCAUUCUCCAGGCUCAUCUAAAUUCUAACAUCCUUAAAAAGUCAGAUUAAAUUCCACCUCUUCUAAGUAAAUGUCUAUACUUGGUCCAAUCCUAGAAUUUGUUCUCCAAAAUGUUACACAACCAUUAGUCUAAACCUCACUGUAGGGAAUCCAUGUGCCCCACCCACUGGGUGCCAGAAUGUAGGGAUUCAGGAGCCCCAUGUUGGGCACCAGAAUGUGUAGGGAGUUAGCCCUACAUAAACAUGAGUACCCUGAGUUCGGUGGCGACUAAGGAAUAAAAAAGGGCAUAUUAAGAGAGACAGUGGGAUCAGGGGGCCAUCACUUUAUUAUUUUGGAGGCAACAGUGAAGGCCCCAAGCUCUGAUCGUCUACACUAUUUAUUGAUUACAAUCACUUUGAUCUAUAGGGUAGGAGUGGAGUGAUGGUGGAGUGAAUCAGUGAGCCGGAAGUGAAUCAGUGGCCGGGACUGGUGUAUCAUCCUAAGGAUUGAUAACAGUGGCGGUUUGGGAGUUUCACAAACCAAGAACAUGUGGUUAUCUUUAGAUAUUAUCUAUGUACAGCUGAUGGAACUACGGCCUUACAAGGAGCCUACAAGUCUGGCUACGUCAUAGUGAUAUAAAGGGGUUUUACAUCCUUGAGCACAAUGUGUAUGGUAACAGAGCCAAGGUCACUCUGCGCCGGAACAUGAGGCAGGGAGAGGCCUUCCUCCCCAGAGGCCUCCUGCGGCCUUCCGCAGUUUGUUGUUCCUUGUUUAUGUGUUACUCGUAACCAAUUUAUGUAGGCACUCUGUAAGUCCUUUCUCCUUUGCUGCUUUUCCCAACACUCACAAUUUAGAAACUGUUGCCCAUGGUCUCACACUGUUCUACGACUGGUAUAUUUUCCAAAAUAGAUUUUAAAUUCCUGGAAGCCUUUUCUCAAUCAUCUCUUCAC